rnacentral:rRNA from 1 species
AACGAACGCUGGUGGUAUGCUUAACACAUGCAAGUCGAACGAAUAAGGCUCCUAGCUUGCUAGGAGAUUCUGUUAGUGGCAGACGGGUGAGUAACGCGUGGGAAUCUACCUAGUAGUGGGGAAUAACAGUUGGAAACGACUGCUAAUACCGCAUACGCCCUUCGGGGAAAAGGCUUCGGCCGCUAUUAGAUGAGCCCGCGUUGGAUUAGCUAGUUGGUAGGGUAAUGGCCUACCAAGGCGACGAUCCAUAGCUGAUUUGAGAGGAUGAUCAGCCACACUGGGACUGAGACACGGCCCAG